ACCUCAAAGGAGGUCAGUGCAAUUUUCCUAAUGUAAAGUUAAUGUGCAUUCAUUAUGUCUGCCAAUCAUUUAAUAUUUGAACAUGUUUUGUAAAUGUACAGCUGACAAUCUCCAGUUAUAAAUAAGAAGGGCAAUGCAUUUCAAGUGUUACCAAAUAUCUUUUUUGAGCACUAGAAAAAUGAGUCNNNNNNNNNNNGUCGCACCACGAGGCAUUGUCGGCGAGUCGGGUUAUUUGGGAAUGCAGCCCCAAUUGGGAGGUAAAUUUCGUCCUAGGCUAAANUAGGCUAAAUACGUGCGAGAGACCGAUAGCAAACAAGUACCACGAGGGAAAGAUGAAAAGGACUUUGAAAAAAGAGUCAAAUAGUGCUUGAAAUUGUUGGGAUGGAAGCGGAUAGGGGCUGGCGAUGUGCCCCGGUCAGAUGUGGAACGGCAAUAGCCGGUUCACCAAUCGACUCGGGGCGUGGACCGAUAUGGAUUGUGGCGGCGGCCCAAGCCCGGGCUGUAGUUAUGCAUGCGGAGAUGUCGUUGCCACGAUCGUGGCUGGCAGCGCAUGCCUCACGACGCGCCUCGACAUCUGCACACUCCUAGCAUGAGCCUCCGAGCUCCCCAUUCGGGUCGUCUUGAAACAUGGACAAAGGAGUCUGACAUGUGUACGAGUUAACGGGCUAGUAAACCCGUAAGGCGCACAGAAGCUGAUUGGAGGGAUCCCCCUGAGGGUUGCGUCACCGACCGACCUUGAUCUUCUGGGAAGGAUUUGAGUGAGAGCAUACCUAUCGGGACCUGAAAGAUGGUGAACUAUGCCUGAGUGAGGCGAAGCCAAAGGAAACUCUAGUGGAGGCCUGCAAUGAUACUGAUGUGCAAAUCGUUCAUCUGACUUGGGUAUAGGGGCGAAAGAUUAAUCGAACCGUCUAGUAGCUAGUUCCCAUCAAAGUUUCCCUCAAGAUAGCUGGAGCCCACGUGCCAAUUCUAACGGGUAAAGCCAAUGAUUAGAGGCAUCGGGGGCACAAUGCCCUCGACCUAUUCUCAAACUUUAAAUAGGUAGGACAGCACGACUGCUUCGUUGAGCUGCGCCAAGGAAUUGAGAGCUCCAAGUGGGCCAUUUUUGGUAAGCAGAACUGGCAAUGCGAGAUGAACUUGAAGUUGGGUUACGGUGCCCAACUGCGCGCUAACCUAGAAUCCACAACGGGUGUUGGUUGAUUAAGACAGCAGGACGGUGGUCAUGGAAGUCAAAAUUCGCUAAAGAGUGUGUAACAACUCACCUACCGAAUCAACUAGCCCGGAAAAUGGAUGGCGCUGAAGCGUGCAAUCUAUACCCGACCGUCAGGGCAAGUUCUAGGCCUCGAUGAGCAGGAAGGUGCAGCGAUCGCUGUAAAACCUGGGGCGUGGGUCCGAGCGGAGCUGCCGUAGGUGCAGAUCUUAGUGGUAGUAGCAAAUAUUCAAAUGAGAUCUUUGAAGGCUGAAAAGGGGAAAGGUUCCAUGUGAAUGGCACUUGCACAUGGGUUAGUUGAUCCUAUGAGACGGGGGAAGCUCGUCUGAUAGCGUGCUAAGCAUGAGCUUUGAAAGGGAAUCGGGUUAAAAUUCCUGAACUGGGACAUGGCGGCUGACGACAACGUUAGGGAGUCUGGAGAUGUCGGCGAGGGCCUCGGAAAGAGUUAUCUUUUCUAUUUAACAGCCUGCCCACCUUAGAAAUGGCUUAGCCGGAGGUAGGGUCCAGUGGCUAGAACAGCACCGCAUGUCGCGUGGUGUCCGGUGUGCCCACAGCGGCCCUUGAAAAUUUGGAGGACCAAGUGCCUCCCACGCCCGGUCAUAUUCAUAACCGCAUCAGGUCUCCACCGUGAACAGCCUCUGGUUGAUGGAACAAUGUAGGCAAGGGAAGUCGGAAAAAUGGAUCUGUAACCUCGGGAAAUGGAUUGGCUCUGAGGGCUGGGCAUGGGGGUCCCAAUCCCGAACCCAUCGACUGUCGGCAGACUGCUUGAGCUGCUCUUGCGGUGAGAGUAGGUCGCUGUGUGCCGGCCGGGGGACAGACUAGGAACGACCGCCUCAGCGGUCUUCCCCGAGCAUCGAACAAUCAACUUAGAACUGGUACGGACAUGGGGAGUCCGAUUGUUUAAUUAAAACAAAGCAUUGCGAUGGUCCCUGUGGAUGCUCACGCGAUGUGAUUUCUGCCCAAUGCUCUAAAUGUCAAAGUGAAGAAAUUCAACCAAGCGCAGGUAAAUGACAGGAGUAACUAUAACUCUCUUAAGGUAGCUAAAUGCCUCGUCAUCUAAUUAGUGACAUGCAUGAAUGGAUUAAUGAGAUUCCCACUGUCCCUGUCUACUAUCCAGCGAAACCACAGCUAAGGGAACGGGUUUGGUAGAAUCAGCGGGGAAAGAAAACCCUAUUGAGCGUGACCGACUUUGUGAAAUGACUUGAGAGGUGUUGGAUAAGUGGGAGCCGAAAGGCGAAAGUGAAAUACCACUACUUUUAACGUUAUUUUACUUAUUCUGUGAAUCGGAAGCGAGGCUCUACCCCUCUUUUUGGACCCAAGGCUCACCUCAGUAGGCCGAUCUGGGUGGAAGACGUUCUCAGAAGGAGAGUUUGGCUGGGGCAGCACAUCUGUUAAAAGAUAACGCAAGUGUCCUAAGAUAAGCUCAACGAGAACAGAAAUCUUGUGUGGAACAAAAGGGUAAAAGCUCAUUUGAUUCUGAUUUCCAGUACGAAUACAAACUGUGAAAGCGUGGCCUAUCGAUCCUUUAGACCUUCGGAAUUUGAAGCUAGAGGUGUCAGAAAAGUUACCACAAGGAUAACUGGCUUGUGGCAGCCAAGUGUUCAUAGCGACGUUGCUUUUUGAUCCUUUGAUAUCGGCUCUUCCUAUCAUUGUGAAGCAGAAUUCACCAAGUGUUGGAUUGUUCACCCACCAAUAAGGAACGUGAGCUGGGUUUAGACUGUCGAGAGAUAGGUUAGUUUUACCCUGCUGAUGAUAGUGUCACAAUGGUAAUUCAACCUAGUACGAGAGGAAUCGUUGAUUCGUACAAUUGGUCAUCGCGCUUGGUUGAAAAGCCAGUGGCGCGAAGCUACCGUGCGCUGGAUUAUGACUAAACACGUCUAAGUCAAAAUCCAGGCUAGCAGUAAUGCGUGCUCCUGCCACCCAUUAUGGGUUUUGUUUGAUUUUUGAAAAGAUUGAAUCUCAGAUCGGAUCUUUGCGUAUAUGCUUGUUUUUUCGGGGCAUUUGGAUCGGUUUAAAUGGUUGUAAAAGCUAAAAUAAUAGUGGGUUUUGAAUAUGUGAUUGUCCCAUUUUUAAAUUUUCUUGUUAAUUGA
rnacentral:rRNA from 1 species